AAAUAUAAAUUUAUUUUUAAAAAAAAAUUAAGUUUAAGUUAAUAGAAAUAAAUAAUUUUAUAUUAAUUAAAUGAAAAAAAAUAAUUUAUGAUAGUUUAAAGUAUUGUUAAAGAAAAUUGAAAUAAUGAAAAUUUUUUUAUAAAAAAGAAAAAUUAUUUUUUUGUACCUUUUGCAUCAGGGUAAAUUAAAUAUAUUUAUUAAUUAAUAAAAUUCUCGAAUUAAAAAGAGCUAAGAAUUAAUAAAUUUUAUUAUAAAAAUACUAUUUAAAAUUAAUUUUUUGUAAUGAAACGUUAAGCGUUUUUUAAUAUAUCUAGUUUUUAAAGAUAAAAUUUAAUUUUAUUAAAAAAUUUUAUUUAUAUUAAUUUAAAUUUAGAUAAAUUUUUUAUUUUAUAAAUUAAGGGAUAAGCUUUAAUUUAUAUUAGAAAAAAUAAAUUUAAAAAUAAUUAAUAGGAUUAAAAUUUUCUUUUUUAAAGUAUGUUAUAAUUUAUUAUUUAAUUUUUUUUUUUUUAUAUUUUUAAUUUUAUUAUUUAAAUAUUAAAUUUAUUUUCAAAAUUUAAUUAAUAAUGAUUUAAUGAGUAUAAAAUUAUUUAUUUUAAGAAUUUAAUUUUAGGUUAGGUUAAGGAAUUCGGCAAAAUAAAAUUUUUUACCUGUUUAUUAAAAACAUGUCUUUUUGAAUUUAAUUUAAGGUUUAACCUGCUCAAUGAAAAUUUAAAUAGCUGCGGUAUUUUGACCGUACAAAGGUAGCAUAAUCAAUAGUUUUUUAAUUAAAAACUGGAAUGAAAGGUUGGAUAAGAAAAUUUCUGUCUCAAUUUAAAUUUAUUAGAAAUUUAUUUUUAAGUUAAAAAGCUUAAAUAUAAUUUAAUGACGAGAAGACCCUAUAGAGUUUAAUUAAAUUAAAAAUAAAAUUAUUUUAGAAUUUAAAAAAUUUAAUUUUUAAUAAAUUUGAUUGGGGUGAUUAAAAAAUUAAAUAAACUUUUUUUUAUUUAUUCAAAUAUAUUUGUUUUUAUGAUCCAUAUAAAUGAUUAAAAGAAUAAAUUACCUUAGGGAUAACAGCGUAAUUUUUUUAAAGAGUUCAAAUCGAAAAAAAAGAUUGCGACCUCGAUGUUGGAUUAAAGUAAAAAUAAGGUGUAGAAACUUUAUAUUUAGGUCUGUUCGACCUUUAAAACUUUACAUGAUCUGAGUUUAAACCGGUGUAAGCCAGGUUGGUUUCUAUCUUAAAUAGAAAAUAUUUUUUAGUACGAAAGGACCAAAAAUAUAAUUAAAAAUUUUAUUUUUGAAAUUAAAU
rnacentral:rRNA from 1 species